GAUGAAGAACGUAGUGAAAUGCGAUAAGUAAUGUGAAUUGCAGAAUUCAGUGAAUCAUCGAAUCUUUGAACGCACAUUGCGCCCGCCAGUAUUCUGGCGGGCAUGCCUGUUCGAGCGUCAUUUCAACCAUCAAGCCCCAGGCUUGUGUUGGGGACCUGCGGCUGCCGCAGGCCCUGAAAACCAGUGGCGGGCUCGCUGUCACACCGGGCGUAGUAGAUUUUAUCUCGCUCAGGGCGUGCUGCGGGUUCCGGCCGUUAAAAAGCCUUUUUUACCCAAGGUUGACCUCCGAUCAGGUAGGAAGACCCGCUGAACUUAAGCAUAUCAAUAAGCGGAGGA
rnacentral:misc_RNA from 1 species